rnacentral:rRNA from 1 species
ACGGGAAACCGGAGCUAAUACCGAUAAUAUUUCGAACCGCAUGGUUCGAUAGUGAAAGAUGGUUUUGCUAUCACUUAUAGAUGGACCUGCGCCGUAUUAGCUAGUUGGUAAGGUAACGGCUUACCAAGGCGACGAUACGUAGCCGACCUGAGAGGGUGAUCGGCCACACUGGAACUGAGACACGGUCCAGACUCCUACGGGAGGCAGCAGUG